AAUAAAUUUACCUAGAAAAUAUUUGUUCCUAGAUAAAUUAGAAUCUUAUUAUUACAAAAGUAAGUAUCAUCUAUUUCUAUAAUGAAUAUUAAAAUUACGUUUCAGGGAUAAAAUAUUACUGUGGUUCAAGUCAGACAAACCAAGUCAAAAGUUUACUGGAGUCUUAAACUGUACUGGGUGCGUAACCAAAACUAUACCCUCCAUGAUGUGGCUGGGACUCAUUCAAUAAGGUGAAUGCCUAAACAGAACAAAACUUGGAGUCCUCUCUCAAGUAGAAAGGAAUUCUGCCAGUUUCCAAGUAUGUUUAGUCCAGCUACACAUUUUGGAACUGGCAGAAUAAUGACAGAUUGGUUUUAGAGAUCCACUAGGCCCAUUGUGAAAGGGCUUAGAACUCUACUGAUCAGAUGACCUUCAAUGAACCAAUAUUUUGACUAUGGGCUUUUUAAAAAACAUUUUUAAAAAAUUGUUUUCCAAAGUAUGCUACUAAUAACAUGAGAAGUGUAAGCCCCAAACUGGGAGAAUACACUUGUAACACAUAUCAGAAAAUGGAUAUGUGCCAUUAUCAUACAAAGAAAUUUUAUAAGUCAAUACUAAAAGACUAACACUCCAAUUUGAAAGACUAAAAUAAAAAUUUGAAUAAAAAUAUAUACAAAUUGUCCAUUAGUCCUUGAGAAGUUGUUCACUUGGAAAAUGCAAAUUGAAAUCAUAAUGAGUUAUAAGUAUGCACGAAUUAAAAUGGCUAAACUGAAAAACUAGUUCUAGCAAUUAUUAGAAAAGAUAUAGAGCAAGUGCCAAGGGCAAUACACAAUUGAAGAACUUUGGAAGACAGUUAAUUUUUUUUUUAUUCAACUAGGUAUUUACAUAUGCAAUAAAGAAUAAAAUAGAAACUUGCUUGUACUAAGAUUCAUAUGGGGAUAUUCAUAGAAACUUUGUGUGUAAUAGCUCAAACUGAAUAUUUAUUAUAAAGUGAAAGAUUUAUUAACAGGAGAAUGCUUUAUCAAAUUGGGUUAUAUCCACACAAUGACAUGGUAUUCAGAAACAAAAUGAACUAUUAAUUUACACACAAAAAUAAAUUUUAUGAGUAUUAUAAUAUAUAAAAGAGGCCAGAAUAAAUGUAUUUCAUUUACAUAAAAUUUUUAAAAAGGCAAACUAACCUCUAAGGUCAGAAAGGUCAGUGGUUGUCCAUGGAAAGAGUACAAAGAGGGAGCACUACAAAGAAUCACUGAGGAACUUUGUCAAAGAUCAAAUAUUCAUUAUGUUGAUUGUGCUUCUAAUUUUGUGAGUGUAUACAUAUGUUUAAACCUUGUCAUCAAAUUCUACAAUUUAAAUAUAUAUAGUUUAUUGUGUUAUAAAUACAUCUUACUAAAGUUCUAGUAAAACCUCUUAGUUAAAGACAUUAAUAACUGGCCCAAGGAGUCACUCUACUUAGAUAUUGUAAGUAUGACAGAAGGUGAGAUAUUGAUCUGUUCUCCACCUGAAGUUGUUGAAAGGGAUUCCACCAGAGCCUGAAUGAGUAUUGUUUAGUGAAACUGUUAUCCACAUACUGUUAUUACUACAAGACGUUGAAAGUGGAGAUAAUACUUUUCUGAGACAAAAUACCAGCCCAAGAAGAAGCACAGAAUGAGGACAGAGAUAUCAUCAUAAAGAUUUGGCAAAGGGAAUAUUUUUAUAAAAAUUUUAUCAAAGUAUGUUUCCUAUAAAAUAUUCAAAAUUGCAUGUAUACAGCUUAAGUUUCUACAUAAAGUAAAUAAAAGUUGUUGUAAUUUGUCACCCCAAAACGGUAUAAAUACAGGAAGUUCGAAGGUACUAGAGCAAUAGCUUGUCUUCUCCCUUUUGGUUACUGCUUCACCAUGUGUAAUCUGCCAUCUGGAUUCAAUAUCAGAGAUUAGCUCUGCCUGUUUUUCUUUUUUAAGUUGAAUAAAUGGAAGGAUAACAGUAUGUAUAUUAUGUCAGGCUUCGUUUAUUUAACAUUAUAUUUCUAAGAGUCAUAUGCUUUCAAUUAUCUUCAUAGUUCUGUCUUCACCACUAUAUGGACAUUCC
rnacentral:lncRNA from 1 species